rnacentral:rRNA from 1 species
GAUGAACGCUAGCUACAGGCUUAACACAUGCAAGUCGAGGGGAAACGGCAUUAAGUGCUUGCACUUUUUGGACGUCGACCGGCGCACGGGUGAGUAACGCGUAUCCAACCUUCCCAUGACUAAGGGAUAACCUGCCGAAAGGCAGACUAAUACCUUAUGGUCUUCACUGACGGCAUCAGAUGUGAAGUAAAGAUUUAUCGGUUAUGGAUGGGGAUGCGUCUGAUUAGCUUGUUGGCGGGGUAACGGCCCACCAAGGCAACGAUCAGUAGGGGUUCUGAGAGGAAGGUCCCCCACAUUGGAACUGAGACACGGUCCAAACUCCUACGGGAGGCAGCAGUGAGGAAUAUUGGUCAAUGGGCGAGAGCCUGAACCAGCCAAGUAGCGUGCAGGAUGACGGCCCUAUGGGUUGUAAACUGCGUUUGUAUGGGGAUAAAGUCAAUCACGUGUGAUUGUUUGCAGGUACCAUACGAAUAAGGACCGGCUAAUUCCGUGCCAGCAGCCGCGGUAAUACGGAAGGUCCGGGCGUUAUCCGGAUUUAUUGGGUUUAAAGGGAGCGUAGGCUGGAGAUUAAGUGUGUUGUGAAAUGUAGGCGCUCAACGUCUGACUUGCAGCGCAUACUGGUUUCCUUGAGUACGCACAACGUUGGCGGAAUUCGUCGUGUAGCGGUGAAAUGCUUAGAUAUGACGAAGAACUCCGAUUGCGAAGGCAGCUGACGGGAGCGCAACUGACGCUGAAGCUCGAAGGUGCGGGUAUCGAACAGG